UGCAUGUCUAAGCACAAGCCGAAAAUGGUGAAGCCGCGAAUGGCUCAUUACAACAGCCUUGGUUUAUUUGAUCUUGAAAUCCUACUUGGAUAACUGUGGUAAUUCUAGAGCUAAUACACGCACACGAGCUUCAGCCUUGCGGCCGGAGCGCAUUUAUUAGUACAAAACCAAUCGGGCCUUGUGCCCGUUGUCUGGUGAAUCUGAAUAACUGAGCCGAUCGCACGGUCUCUGCACCGGCGACGUAUCAUUCAAGUGUCUGCCCUAUCAACUUUCGAUGGUAGUUUAUGUGACUACCAUGGUUGCAACGGGUAACGGAGAAUAAGGGUUCGACUCCGGAGAAGCAGCCUGAGAAACGGCUACUA
rnacentral:rRNA from 4 species